rnacentral:rRNA from 1 species
AUGCCCCACAGCUAGCCCACACCCCCCCCCCCCCAACAAACAACCAUUAAUACCCACUAACAACCUUAAGACAAGAGUUAAACCAAACCAUUUUUCCCCCUUAGUAUGGGCGACAGAAAAGGACCCAGGAGCAAUAGAAAAAGUACCGCAAGGGAAAGCUGAAAAAGAAAUGAAAUAACCCAUUAAAGCUUAAAAAAGCAGAGAUUCAAACUCGUACCUUUUGCAUCAUGAUUUAGCUAGUACCACUUAAGCAAAGAGCCCUUUAGUUUAAUACCCCGAAACUGAGCGAGCUACUCCAAGACAGCCUAUAUAGGGCAAACCCGUCUCUGUGGCAAAAGAGUGGGAAGAGCUUUGAGUAGAGGUGAAAGACCUACCGAGCCCAGUCAUAGCUGGUUGCCUAAGAAAUGAAUAGAAGUUCAGCCUCCGAGAAUUCCCACCCCAAACUAGUCUUACAAGCCUUGGCCCCAGGAAACCCGAAGAGUUAGUCAAAAGAGGUACAGCUCUUUUGAAACAAGAUACAACUUUAAUUAGCGGAUAAAGAUCAAA